UGGGGAAUAUUGGACAAUGGGCGAAAGCCUGAUCCAGCCAUGCCGCGUGUGUCAAGAAGGUCUUCGGAUUGUAAAGCACUUUAAGUUGGGAGGAAGGGCAGUAAGCGAAUACCUUGCUGUUUUGACGUUACCGACAGAAUAAGCACCGGCUAACUCUGUGCCAGCAGCCGCGGUAAUACAGAGGGUGCAAGCGUUAAUCGGAAUUACUGGGCGUAAAGCGCGCGUAGGUGGUUCGUUAAGUUGAAUGUGAAAGCCCCGGGCUCAACCUGGGAACUGCAUCCAAAACUGGCGAGCUAGAGUAGGGCAGAGGGUGGUGGAAUUUCCUGUGUAGCGGUGAAAUGCGUAGAUAUAGGAAGGAACACCAGUGGCGAAGGCGACCACCUGGGCUCAUACUGACACUGAGGUGCGAAAGCGUGGGGAGCAAACAGG
rnacentral:rRNA from 1 species